AACGAACGCUGGCGGCAUGCCUAACACAUGCAAGUCGAACGAGACCUUCGGGUCUAGUGGCGCACGGGCGCGUAACGCGUGGGAACCUGCCCUUAGGUUCGGAAUAACUCCCCGAAAGGGGUGCUAAUACCGGAUAAUGUCUUCGGACCAAAGAUUUAUCGCCUUUGGAUGGGCCCGCGUUGGAUUAGCUAGUUGGUAGGGUAAAAGCCUACCAAGGCGACGAUCCAUAGCUGGUCUGAGAGGAUGAUCAGCCACACUGGGACUGAGGCACGGCCCAGACUCCUACGGGAGGCAGCAGUGGGGAAUAUUGGACAAUGGGCGAAAGCCUGAUCCAGCAAUGCCGCGUGAGUGAUGAAGGCCUUAGGGUUGUAAAGCUCUUUUACCCGGGAUGAUAAUGACAGUACCGGGAGAAUAAGCUCCGGCUAACUCCGUG
rnacentral:rRNA from 1 species